rnacentral:misc_RNA from 1 species
UCCCCGUUACCGGGGCAGUCUAGCUAGAAAAAUUCAACUAACUAUAAGGGUUGCGCUCGUUGAUGGACUUAACCAAACAUCUCACGACACGAGCUGACGACGGCCAUGCAUCACCUGUCACUUGGUUCAAUAAAGCACUUUUUGCUUUCGCAAAAAUUCCAAGGAUGUCAAACCCUGGUAAGGUUCUUCGUUUACCUUCGAAUUAAACAACACGCUCCACCGCUUGUGCGGGUCCCCGUCAAUUCCUUUAUGUUUUAAGCUUGCGCUCGUACUCCACAGGCGGGAUGCUUAACGCGUUAGCUUCGCAACGUUCCGGGUCGAUACGGAACACUGCUAGCAUCCAUCGUUUACGGCGUGGACUAC